GAAUACUAUCAUAUCAUCUGCAAAUAGUGAUACCUUGAUUUCUUCCUUUCCAGUCUGUAUCCCCUUGAUCUCCUUUAGUUGUCUUAGUGCUCCAGCUAGAACUUCAAGUACUGUAUUGAAUAGACAUGGAGAGAGCAGACAGCCUUGUCUUAUUCCUGAUUUUAGUGGAAUUGCUUUUGAAUUUCACUUGAAAGGAAUGAACUGGCCUGAGAGAGGUUGACUCUAUGACAGGCUGCAAACUAGCAGUCCAGGAGACCAGGCCUGAGUUUCUACUGCCCAGAACUGGGCAAGUCAGUUGCUGGUACAACCACAGGCUUAUGUAAAAGGGACCCCUCCCUAGCUUGAAAAGAGGACAGUUAGCCAGACUUGUGGUCAAGAGGUCAAGAGCUAUCUUUCCUUGACAUGAAACAAGACUAGUUAGUCUGAAUCAUAGCAUCACCCAGAUCCCCAGAGAUAGAAAUCACCAAUCAAGAUAUAGAUAACCUAUCCCUCCCUAGUGUUCCUCUUUUUGGCUUUAAAGCUGAAUCUUCUAGUUCAGUCAGGGUUCUUCUAUCCCGAUGGAAUUGGGCCCUGUACUGGCUAGUUUUGUGCUGUGAUCUGCUGGCCGGACACAACAGUUUUGUGUUAACUUGACACAGCUGGAGUUAUCACAGAGAAAGGAGCUUCAGUUGAGGAAAUGCCUCUUUGAGAUCCAACUGUAAGGCAUUUUCUCAAUUAGUGA
rnacentral:lncRNA from 1 species